UACGGGAGGCAGCAGUGGGGAAUAUUGGACAAUGGGCGAAAGCCUGAUCCAGCCAUGCCGCAUGAGUGAAGAAGGCCUUCGGGUUGUAAAGCUCUUUUAGUGAGAAAGAUAAUGACGGUACUCACAGAAGAAGUCCUGGCUAACUCCGUGCCAGCAGCCGCGGUAAUACGGAGAGGGCUAGCGUUAUUCGGAAUUAUUGGGCGUAAAGAGCGCGUAGGCUGAUUAGUAAGUUAAAAGUGAAAUCCCAAAGCUUAACUUUGGAAUUGCUUUUUAAAACUGCUAGUCUAGAGAUUUGAAAGAGGAUAGAGGAAUUCCUAGUGUAGAGGUGAAAUUCGUAAAUAUUAGGAGGAACACCAGUGGCGAAGGCGUCUAUCUGGUUCGAAUCUGACGCUGAGGCGCGAAGGGCGUGGGGAGCAAACAGGGAUUAGAUACC
rnacentral:rRNA from 1 species